rnacentral:tRNA from 1 species
UCUAUAUUGGCAGAUAAGUGCGAUAAAUUUAGAAUUUAUUUAUGUGAUUAAUUUACAUAUAGAA